rnacentral:rRNA from 1 species
GACGAACGCUGGCGGCAGGCCUAACACAUGCAAGUCGAGCGCGCGGCGGACGGGUGAGUAAUGUCUGGGAAACUGCCUGCUGGAGGGGGAUAACUACUGGAAACGGUAGCUAAUACCGCAUACCAUCAGAUGUGCCCAGAUGGGAUUAGCUAGUAGGUGGGGUAACGGCUCACCUAGGCGACGAUCCCUAGCUGGUCUGAGAGGAUGACCAGCCACACUGGAACUGAGACACGGUCCAGACGCCUACGGGAGGCAGGAGGGGGGAAUAUUGCACAAGGGGCGCAAGCCUGAUGCAGCCAGGCCGCGUGUGUGAAGAAGGCCUUCGGGUUGUAAAGCACGUUCAGCGGGGAGGCGUUACCCGCAGAAGAAGCACCGGCUAACUCCGUGCCAGCAGCCGCGGUAAUAC